rfam:Colius striatus contig69094, whole genome shotgun sequence.
GUCUCUGUGGCGCAAUCGGUUAGCGCUUUCGACUGUUAACUGAGAGGUUGGUGGUUCAAGCCCACCCAGGGACG